rnacentral:rRNA from 1 species
GAUGAACGCUAGCUACAGGCUUAACACAUGCAAGUCGAGGGGCAGCAUGAACAUAGCUUGCUAUGUUUGAUGGCGACCGGCGCACGGGUGCGUAACACGUAUCCAAUCUACCCAUGGCUCGGGGAUAGCCUUUCGAAAGAAAGAUUAAUACCCGAUGGUCUCGGUAACGGAUGAGGAUGCGUACGAUUAGCUUGUUGGCGGGGUAACGGCCCACCAAGGCUACGAUCGUUAGGGGUUCUGAGAGGAAGGUCCCCCCACACUGGAACUGAGACACGGUCCAGACUCCUACGGGAGGCAGCAGUGAGGAAUAUUGGUCAAUGGGCGAGAGCCUGAACCAGCCAAGUAGCGUGAAGGAUGACUGCCCUACGGGUUGUAAACUUCUUUUGUUUGGGAAUAAAAGACGCUACGUGUAGCGUUGUGCAUGUACCUUACGAAUAAGCAUCGGCUAAUUCCGUG